rnacentral:lncRNA from 1 species
ANAGGGAAGGAAUUUGAAAUCCAUGCGGCAAGGUAAAACACUUCAUAAUUUUGAAAUCACCUCUUGAAAUUCGAAUUUAAUCCAUUCAAAAACUCAUACGCCACCUUGGCUGAUGGUUUGAGUGAUUAAAAUCAUUUAACACAUUGCUUAAUGUUUGAAUUUAAAUUCAAAUAACAAACAAUGUCGCCAUGUGUCAAGCAAUGGGUUCAUGUGCCAUGCAAUAAUUUUGGUUUAUUUAAAAUUCAUGAAAUCCAAUUCCAUGUCACCAAUAAUUGCCACAUCA